CCCCUCUCCUCCUUUCCCUCCCCAGCUUGCCAUGAAGGGCCCCCCCGGCCCCAUGGGGCUCACCGGCCGCCCGGGUCCUCUGGUGAGUGCUGCUGGCGUGGGGGCUGCUGCGGGACCCCCUUGGGGUGCCCACCUUGCACCGGGGUCUUUGGGCACCCCAGCAGACCCCCAGUGGCGGGGGCUCCACGCUCUCCGUUUUUUUUUAGGGUCUGCCAGGGCACCCGGGCCUGAAAGGGGACGCAGGGGACAUGGGGCCGCGGGUGAGUCUCGUAAGGUUGGGGGGCGGGGGCCGUUGGAAGCCUUCCUCUCCCCUCACCCCUCUUCUUCCUCUCCAUCAGGGUCCCCGGGGACUGCAGGGACCCCCGGGACCACCGGGGAAGCUGGGCAGACGGGGUCGCGCUGGAGCAGACGGUGCCAGGGGACUCCCGGGGGACACCGGACCCAAGGUGCUUGGGGUGCCAGGAUGCCCACGGCCCCCUUUUUUUUUUUGGGGAGGGGGCCGUGGGCUCAUCUUGUGCCCCACAGGGUGACCGGGGCUUCGAUGGUUUGCCGGGGCUACCGGGGGAGAAAGGCCACAGGGUAAGUGCCACCGCGCCGCGUCCCCUCCUGCCACCACCCGUCCCCGUGUCCCCUCACCUCCUCUCCGUCCCCUAGGGUGACGUGGGGAAGCCAGGACCUGCGGGCACCCCCGGGGAGAAAGGAGCCAGGGUGAGGAGCCUGAGGGGGGGGGGUCCGGGGAAGGAUCAGGCCCUGGUGGCGUGGGGGGGACACGCUCAGCUCCUCUCUGUCCCUCCCAGGGCUCCGACGGCUUGCCGGGACCGCGGGGACAACCGGGGGAACCCG
rnacentral:lncRNA from 1 species